rnacentral:rRNA from 1 species
AUUGAACGCUGGCGGAAUGCUUUACACAUGCAAGUCGAGCGGCAGCACGGGGGCAACCCUGGUGGCGAGCGGCGAACGGGUGAGUAACACAUCGGAACAUGCCCAGUCGUGGGGGAUAACACUUCGAAAGAAGUGCUAAUACCGCAUACGUCCUGAGGGAGAAAGCGGGGGAUCGCAAGACCUCGCGCGAUUGGAGUGGCCGAUGUCAGAUUAGCUAGUUGGUGGGGUAAAGGCCUACCAAGGCAACGAUCUGUAGCUGGUCUGAGAGGAUGAUCAGCCACACUGGGACUGAGACACGGCCCAGACUCCUACGGGAGGUAGCAGUGGGGAAUUUUGGACAAUGGGGGCAACCCUGAUCCAGCCAUUCCGCGUGAGUGAAGAAGGCCUUCGGGUUGUAAAGCUCUUUCGGCAGGAACGAAACGGUGAGCUCUAACAUAGCUUGCUAAUGACGGUACCUGAAAAAGAAGCACCGGCUAACUACGUG